rnacentral:rRNA from 1 species
AAGUCGUAACAAGGUUUCCGUAGGUGAACCUGCGGAAGGAUCAUUACCGAGAGGGGCUUCGUGCUCCAGGGGCUUCGACCCCGACUCUUCUCCCUGUGUUUACAUACCUUUGUUGCUUUGACGAGCCUGGAAGGUUUCUUCAACGCUGGCUCCGGGUGCCCCGGGCUUGCGAGUGCUCGUCAGAGGCCUUUUAACAACUCCGUUUCCAGUACUGUCCGAGUAUCAUAUAAUCGUCAAAACUUUCAACAACGGAUCUCUUGGUUCUGGCAUCGAUGAAGAACGCAGCGAAAUGCGAUAAGUAAUGUGAAUUGCAGAAUUCAGUGAAUCAUCGAAUCUUUGAACGCACAUUGCGCCCCUUGGUAUUCCGAGGGGCAUGCCUGUUCGAGCGUCAUUGCACCUCUCAAGCUUUGCUUGGUAUUGGGCUCGUCGCCCCUUCUCCCGGGGCGUGCCUAAAAAUUAGUGGCGGCCGAGCGAGGCUUCAAGCGUAGUAAAUUUUCUCCCGCUUUCGAAGUUCUCGCGCCGUGACUCCGCCAGACAAUCCUUAUCAUUGUCUCAAUGGUUGACCUCGGAUCAGGUAGGGAUACCCGCUGAACUUAA